rnacentral:rRNA from 1 species
AUUGAACGCUGGCGGCAGGCCUAACACAUGCAAGUCGAACGAGUGGCGGACGGGUGAGUAAUGUCUGGGAAACUGCCAGAUGGAGGGGGAUAACUACUGGAAACGGUAGCUAAUACCGCAUACCAUCAGAUGUGCCCAGAUGGGAUUAGCUUGUUGGUGGGGUAACGGCUCACCAAGGCGACGAUCCCUAGCUGGUCUGAGAGGAUGACCAGGCACACUGGAACUGAAACACGGGCCAGGCUCCUACAGGAUGCGGCAGUGGGGAAUAGUGCAAAAUGGGCGCAAGGUUGAUACAGCCGUGCCGAGUGUAUGGAGGAGGCCAGCGGGGUGUAGAGUAAUUUCAGCGGGGAGGCGUUACCCGCAGAAGAAGCACCGGCUAACUCCGUGCCAGCAGCCGCGGUAAUAC